rnacentral:rRNA from 1 species
UACGUAGGUGGCAAGCGUUGUUCGGAAUUAUUGGGCGUAAAGGGCGCGUAGGCGGUUUGUUAAGUCAGCUGUGAAAGCCCGGGGCUCAACCCCGGAGGGUCAGUUGAUACUGGCAGACUAGAGUACAGAAGAGGUAACUGGAAUUCCCGGUGUAGCGGUGAAGUGCGUAGAUAUCGGGAGGAACACCUGAGGCGAAGGCGGGUUACUGGGCUGAUACUGACGCUGAUGCGCGAAAGCCAGGGGAGCAAACGGG